CCUACGGGAGGCUGCAGUGGGGAAUAUUGGGCAAUGGGCGCAAGCCUGACCCAGCAACGCCGCGUGAAGGAAGAAGGCCCUCGGGUUGUAAACUUCUUUUAUCAAGGACGAAACAAAUGACGGUACUUGAUGAAUAAGCCACGGCUAACUACGUGCCAGCAGCCGCGGUAAUACGUAGGUGGCAAGCGUUAUCCGGAUUUACUGGGUGUAAAGGGCGUGUAGGCGGGACUGCAAGUCAGAUGUGAAAACCAUGGGCUCAACCCAUGGCCUGCAUUUGAAACUGUUUCCCUUGAGUGUCGGAGAGGUAAUCGGAAUUCCUUGUGUAGCGGUGAAAUGCGUAGAUAUAAGGAAGAACACCAGUGGGGAAGGCGGAUUACUGGACGAUAACUGACGGUGAGGCGCGAAAGCGUGGGGAGCAAACAGGAUUAGAUACCCCGGUAGUC
rnacentral:rRNA from 1 species